UACGUAGGGACCGAGCGUUGUCCGGAAUCAUUGGGCGUAAAGGGCGCGUAGGCGGCCUUCUAAGUCGAACGUGAAAUCCCCGGGCUCAACCCGGGAACUGCGUCCGAUACUGGAAGGCUUGAAUCCGGGAGAGGGAUGUGGAAUUCCAGGUGUAGCGGUGAAAUGCGUAGAUAUCUGGAGGAACACCGGUGGCGAAGGCGACAUCCUGGACCGGUAUUGACGCUGAGGCGCGAAAGCCAGGGGAGCAAACGGG
rnacentral:rRNA from 1 species